GGAUAGUUAGGUAAUUUCACGUGUAUCUUCUUUAUCUGUCUCCUGUUUUUUCUCUCUCCAAAAGAUGCUGCAUCGAUCGAUGGAUCUUGCCAGUGAUGGCUCUUACCAGAGUGGAGGCAGUGGGGACCGACAAGCCUCCUUACAUCACUUUCCCAAGCUCACCGGUGACAUAUGCCUUCCGUGCGGCCCUUCCCCUAAGGGCAUCACAAAUGUGAGCCACUCCUAGGGUGCCCCUACUAACUGAAGGACUCUAGAGGUACUCACCUCUACCAUGCAGGUCAUAUAUGGGUAGCCCAAUGAGUAUCACAACCCAAAAAAGCCCGUUUCUCUCAUCUUCCUCUCUUUCCUAUUCUACCCCUCUCUUCCCUCCCCCUCUCUCUCUCUCUUUUUCCGUCCAAAGUCCGAACCGUCCUUCCACUCGCCGCCUCCUUCCUUCUCUCUCACCGCCGCUCCCACCGCCGCCUGCUUCCCUCUCUCUCGCCGUCGCCUGCUUCCCUCUCUCUCGUCGCCGCCUGCUGCUUCCGCUCGCCUCCCUCUCUCUCCCGCCAUCGCCACCGUCUCCCGCCGCCGCCCCCGAAUCGAGCGCACGGGGCGGAGGCGGCAGUCGUCGUCGUCUGGUGGCCGGAGCGGCAGAUCCGGGGCGGAGGCGACAGUUGUACUCGUCGUCGUCGUCGUCCGGUGGCCGGUCACCGCUCUCUCCCUCUCUCUCUCUCUCUCCCGUGGAAGGUGGCGGCGAAGACCCCGGAGGCGGCAGAUCCGGCGCCACCGUGGCCGGAUCUGGCCCUCCGGCGGAUGGAGCAGCGUCGGCCCCGCCGCAUGAAGACGGUGGCGGCGCCGGCGGUAGCUGCAUCGACGAUGGCGCCGCGCUGGCCGCCGCCACCUCCCUCCUCGCCCUCCCUUCUUCUCUCCGGCGGCGAGCGGCGCCUCCGCCUUGCCCUUGACGCAUGGGUCGGUGACAGAGGGGAGAGGGGUGGAAGAGGAAAUCAAAGAUCGGGUGCGUCGCCUCAAGAACCUCUACCUACGCAGUGGGCUGCUUCGCCCAGUCCCCCUGCCAAAAGUGAGCGAGGGACGCGUUCCCCAGCUGAGGGACGCGUUCCAUCGCGAGGGGGCGAUGCGGAUGGAAAAGCUAACGGACGGAGCUAGGGGCACGGGUCAAAGGCGUUGCUGGCCCCCAACGCGCUGUCGUCCAACACCGCACCUCCACACCGUGCGACGUCCCCGGCACCGACCACACCUCCCUCGGCACCAACCACCCCUCCUACUCCUCGUCUUCUCUACCGUCGCGCAACAGCCUCCGACGCAGGCGCCGUCGGUGCCCAUCACGCCGCCGUCCAACGCCCCGCCGCCAGCGCCCCCGGCACCGACCACGCCUCCCUUGGCACCACCGGUGCCGACCACCUGAGCACAGUGGUGGAGACACAGUCUGAGAGAAUGAGCAUCACGAGCUGGACUUAGCUUGUGAGGUUUUCGAUCCUACCCUCCAAGAAUGAACGGCGGGAUUUAGAUUGGUAUAAUAUGCUGGACCGGAACAAUGCUCUAAUCCUAAUCCUAAUCAAUCCCUUAUAAUUGUUUCCUUCUAAUUUCCUAUUCGAGAAAGCGACAGAAGAUAUAGUAGUACCGGUACUCACGGUCAGCUCACGCUUA